rnacentral:rRNA from 1 species
CCUACGGGUGGCAGCAGUGGGGAAUAUUGGGCAAUGGACGCAAGUCUGACCCAGCAACGCCGCGUGAAGGAAGAAGGCUUUCGGGUUGUAAACUUCUUUUAAGGGGGAAGAGCAGAAGACGGUACCCCUUGAAUAAGCCACGGCUAACUACGUGCCAGCAGCCGCGGUAAUACGUAGGUGGCAAGCGUUGUCCGGAUUUACUGGGUGUAAAGGGCGUGCAGCCGGGCCGACAAGUCAGAUGUGAAAUCCGCGGGCUUAACCCGCGAACUGCAUUUGAAACUAUUGGUCUUGAGUACCGGAGAGGUCAUCGGAAUUCCUUGUGUAGCGGUGAAAUGCGUAGAUAUCACACAGAACACCGAUUGCGAAGGCAUCUCACGAAUCCGCGAUUGACGCUGAUGCACGAAAGCGUGGGUAUCAAACAGGAUUAGAUACCCCUGUAGUC